rnacentral:lncRNA from 1 species
CCCCAAAGCCUCUCGAUCUCUCAUAGCCCACCAACAAAAAUGGCUUCAAUUUCAGCUACUGCAACAGCGGGAGCAGCAGCUACAGCAGCCUCCACAAAAUUCAUCUGCCCUUAUUCCCCUUCCCCUUCUUCCUCUUCUUCUAGCCCUUCUUUAGUUUCAAUUUCUACUCAAAAACCCACUAAAGUUAUCUUAUCCUCAUCUUUUCUUUCAUCCCCUUCCACCCUUUUCAUCAACUCCCCUUGCUCUUCCUCCGCUCCUUCCCCCCGGGGCGGCCGGUUAACGGUCAGGGCUGCCAGGGGGAAAUUUGAGAGGAAAAAACCCCAUGUGAAUAUUGGUACUAUUGGACAUGUUGACCAUGGAAAGACUACUCUCACAGCUGCUUUGACAAUGGCUUUAGCCUCCAUGGGAAACUCCACACCGAAGAAAUACGAUGAGAUUGAUGCUGCCCCCGAAGAGAGGGCUCGUGGGAUUACUAUUAACACUGCUACUGUGGAGUAUGAGACUGAGAAUCGGCAUUACGCCCAUGUGGAUUGCCCCGGGCACGCGGAUUACGUAAAGAAUAUGAUUACUGGUGCUGCCCAGAUGGAUGGAGCGAUAUUGGUGGUUUCUGGGGCAGAUGGCCCGAUGCCGCAGACGAAGGAGCAUAUUUUGUUGGCUAAGCAAGUUGGGGUGCCGAAUAUGGUUGUCUUCUUGAAUAAACAGGAUCAGGUGGAUGAUGAGGAGUUGCUUCAGCUUGUGGAACUGGAGGUAAGGGAGCUUUUGUCUUCUUAUGAGUUUCCCGGUGAUGAUAUUCCGAUUAUUUCGGGUUCUGCUUUGUUGGCUUUGGAGGCUUUGUUGGCUAAUCCUGGUAUUAAGAGGGGUGAAAACCAAUGGGUGGAUAAGAUUUAUGAGUUGAUGGAUGCUGUUGAUAGUUAUAUUCCUGUCCCACAAAGGCAGACUGAUUUGCCAUUUUUAUUGGCUGUUGAAGAUGUUUUUUCAAUUACGGGUAGAGGGACAGUGGCUACUGGGAGGGUUGAGAGAGGGACUGUUAAGGUUGGGGAAACUGUUGAUAUAGUGGGGUUGAAGGACACAAGGAAUACGACGGUUACUGGGGUUGAGAUGUUUCAGAAGAUUUUGGAUGAGGCAAUGGCUGGGGAUAAUGUGGGGUUGUUGUUGAGAGGUGUGCAGAAGGCGGAUAUUCAGAGAGGAAUGGUGUUGGCUAAGCCUGGGACAAUUACGCCUCAUACUAAGUUUGAGGCUAUUGUUUAUGUGUUGAAGAAGGAGGAGGGUGGAAGGCAUUCUCCAUUUUUCUCAGGGUACAGGCCUCAGUUUUACAUGAGGACUACUGAUGUGACAGGUAAGGUGACUCAGAUUAAGAACGAUAAGGAUGAGGAAUCAAAGAUGGUUAUGCCUGGUGAUCGUGUGAAGAUGGUGGUUGAGCUCAUUGUGCCUGUUGCUUGUGAGCAGGGAAUGAGGUUUGCUAUCCGCGAAGGAGGGAAGACUGUUGGAGCCGGGGUUAUUCAAUCUAUCAUUGAGUGAUACAGGCCUUUCCGUGCAAAAUUGGGAUUCCAGUGGCAUAUAUGAUGGAGUUUUUGUUUACUUCUUUAUUUUUAGUGCCUUAGUUUACUUCAAGAAGUUGCUGUUAUGAUGAAUGGAAGAAUACUUCUUAUUGCCUUUGCUGAUUUUAGUUUUCCUUUACUAUAUCUCUGUUUGGUGGCUUAGCUACUAUUUAGCUUCUAUUGACCUUUUUGAUAUAGUUUUUGCUUGUUAAUAAGAGUUUCUGCUGCUAUUUACAACAUAGUGUUCCAAAAAUCAAAUUCAUGACUUUUCUUGUGCCAAGCAUCUCUUUAGCUAUAUGUAAAUCAAAAUGUGCACACCCUGUUGCUGAUAAAUAAUAUCAUUUUACAAUUGAAUUUUUUUGACUUAGCCUCAACAUUGAUAUAUGUUACUGCAACCAUAGCUGAACACAUUUAAGCAUUCCAAUAAGUUGGUUUUUUGAACUCUUGGACAGGCAUUCGAUGGAGCUGCCAGGAAUGUGUUUUGCAAAUUGAGGCAGUGAGAGUAUGUCUGGUUCACAUGUAAUUUUAUUUGAAGUGGGAUGGCACAAUGAGUUAUCUGUAGGUUGUUUGAUUUCUUUCUUGCUUUCUGCUAUGUAAGAUUGCUGAUCUAGUUUGCUAACUCUUUGCUUAUUAACAUGCUCAAUGUGAAUUUCUGCUCUUAUAUCUGCAGGCUUCUGCUUCUUUUUUUCACUUGUCCAUCUUAUAUUCAGUUUGCAAAGGGGCGUCAGUUUUCUGCUUUGCUUUGGGUGAAACUUGUCUAAUUUAGUCUUGCAAAUAUUCAAAAAGUUAUACAUUCAGGCUAUGUAACAUUUCUACCUUUGCAUGUCAUAAUAAACUAGUAUUUACCUCAUUGACGCUCUUCCUUUUUUUUUUUUUUAUAUUUCUUUUCCCUCAUUCCUUCCUAUGUUUUUUGCUCUUCAAAGCUUCUGCUCUCAGAAACUCAGUGCUAUUGCACUCAUAACAGAGCAUACAAUCUUGGCAGCAAGUUUGAAUAUUUCAAGUUAGGAUCUAGAAUUAGUACAUUCAUUAUGUAUCUUGGUUGUACAUGCUCUCUCCCCCCCCCCCUCUCUCUCUCUCUCUCAGUUUCUAGAUGGCUUUUAGGCAGGGUGUAGAAAAGUAUGUUCUUUUGCUAUGAUAGGAAUUAGGAAGCGAGGGAAGAUAGCAAAUUCCCCAAGGAAGUGCAUGAAGAGGAUAGGAGGAAGGUCAGUCAACAUAAAUGGUUGGGUGGUGAAGGAAAGGGAAAGGCUUAUUGACACGACCCUGUAGGAUGGACAUGUGUGGAAAUGGUAACAGGGAAGAUAUUGAGGGGAGGGUUGGGGAUCUUCUGUCAAGUGCAGUCCAUAGCUACAGGUCUUAAACGCCCCUCGAAAAGCAGGGGGGCAUUUAGAGUUUCGGAGCUUCUGUCAACUCUUAGGGAAGUUGCUAGGGUUGACAGAUUAGAGUUUUGGAGCUGCAAGGCAACAAGGAAAAGAGCUGUGCUAGUGCAGGGUGAUGUGGAAUAGGGGAGAGAAGAACAGGAGGUGAUGGUGGUGUGCUGGGGAGAACUUAUAGCAGCCUUGUUGCAGAAAGCAGAGAACCAUAGGGGAAGAGUAAUGGGAGAAAAGAUAUCAAGGUCGGAACAGUUGUAGGGGAUUGUCCUGUACAUUGUUCAUCAUUGCAAACAAACAGUAAACAUUCACAAAAAUGUUGAAACCAUUUCCAAAUUUCAACAAGAUUGUAGAAAAUGGCUUAUGUGAAUAAUGCACUGGCUUUUGUCCUCACGUCAACAUUGGCUAGUGAUAUUGGGAAAUUCCAAAUUUUAAUGCCACACCAAUUUUUUUCUAAUGUAUCAUACUUGUCCUCCUCAAAUCAAAUUAACUGUCACUAUAAUUUUGACUCGAGAUAGGUCAUUUAGCCUUUUUUUUAAAAAAAAUUACUGUUAGUGUUAAUUUUUGAGUUGUUUCUAUUUACUCAACGGAUUCCAUACUAUUCCUUUUUCUUUUUCUAUGGCAGCAUUGGCUGAUGUAUUUGAACUUUAUUCUUGUCUGAUACCUAAACAUGCCUUUACUAGAUAUUGGUAUGGAACAACACAGUUUUAGCCAAACAACAAAGGAUUCUUUCCAAGUGUCUCUAGGGGACGCAUAACUUACUCUAUGAAUGUAUAUAUUUCCAUUUAUUGUCUCCUAUAUUUAGAUACUUUUCUGAAUUAAUUCUACUCUUACUAAAAAAUUAACACAAACGAGUGUUGAUAUAAAUAUCAUCUAAUUUUUGUUUAUAAAUGAUAAAAUCAACAUUCAAGAAGUUGAAUGUAAUAUUACGAACUCAAAGAAAGAAUUAUUAUUAACUAUUUCUAUUUAAGUUGUGUUUUUUUUUUUUUAAGUUAAGAGCAUAUCAUUUAAUCUAAUAGUCAUGAAAUCUUACUGUAUGUGAUCCAAUGGCUAUAUAAUAUUAGAUUAGUGUGUGUGUGUGUGUGUUUGGAUCAGGUCUGAUAUGAAUUUGUGUUUGGGUAUGGAUUAUAGAAAAUCAAAUCUUAUUAAAAUAUAUGACUCUUUUACAAGUUCUAAAUUUAGGUAGGAUCUGGAUUUAAGAAAUUAAACCCAAAGCUUAUUCAAAUAUAUUGGAUCUAGGUUUGAUUUUGAUAAGAUGUGACUCAUUGAUAUGCCUGCGUGAGUGUUACCAUUAUGGGAAGAAGUUGUUUCGAGUGGACUGCUAUUUUUAGUUUUCAGAGAAUUUGUGGUGCAAACAUGGUCGACUUUUUCCUGCGACAUUACUGGAUUUAUACUUAUUUAGCGAGCCAUGCUCUAGAAGAAAUACAAUAUUCAAUCGAUAAGAUUUUGUAUGAUUAAUUUAAGAUGCCCGAAUUUAAAAAAAAAAAAAAGAAGAUAUAUUCUAGAUUAUGCUCCUUUGACAAAUUAGCUAUAGCUUAAGCUCAAGAUUGGUUGGGUUGGUUCUUAGUUGUAAAACAGAGCUAAAUAACACUUGCUAAUCCUGUUUAAAACAGGUGGGUUUGGAUGAGAUGAAAUCCACCCACAUCACCUUGUCAAUGUCUAACUGAUAACAGAGCAAGUGAUUUGCACGUGCACAAAAUGGUUUUUGGUUUUUCAUUUUGUUUAAUUUAGAACUCAGUUAUUUUGGUGAAAAAAAUGAGUGGCAUCCCACCAACAGAAUCCUACAAGUACAAAAAAUCAAGUUCAAUUACUCCAAAUUUCUUGUUUUUUCUUAAGUUUUCUAUUUUUGAUAUCUCCACCAUGCCUUCGUUAUAUUUCAUACUUUAUCAAGUUUUGAAGAAGCAUAUGCUCUUCAAAACCCUUAAAUUUUCAUUUCAGAUUAUCAUAUUACAGAAUAAGUUCUUGUGGUUUUGAUGCCAAAAGAUUGAAACGAAAUUAUUGCAUUCUAGUUAGUUGUUUCUAGAAAGCAAAUCUCCUCAGUUACUAUGUCACAUAUAUAAAACAUGUCCUACACUUCAAUUCGUACAAUUCAAGUUUAUCUGCAAACUAUGCAUAUCGUAUUGUCAACCCAAACACAGAAUUUAAAAGCAUCCUGCGGUAAUAUUUUUGAUUUAUUACAAUUCAUGCUUGUGUGCAGGAAUAUUAAGUCAUAAAGGAUACGAGAUCGAGUAAAAGUUAAUUGGUCAAUAACUAACAUUCAAUGUAUGGUAGAAAAGUUCUAGAGCGCAAAGAGAAUUGCACCGACUUUGUGGAAGAGUCUGGAGACAGAUUUGGUGAAAAGUUGAGAUGACACUUGAAAGAUUUAAAGUCUUACUUGGUGUUUGUUUUAGAAUAAUAAUCCUACUUUUAUGUAAUUCAAGUCAAUCUAUAUCAGCAUAGUUGCUAAAAUGAAAUUUUUGUAGGCCUUUGUUUCCUAUGUAUAUAGUGUUUCGUUGAGUUGUUAUCUUUAAGGUUAGAUUUAGUCUGCUAUUAAAAAAAAAACUUGAAAAAAAGGAGGAAUGAAUGGAAAUAACUAAUAAGCAAAAACCAUGUUGGGAACUAACUUUUAACAAACCGAACUGUUCACAAACAUAUUCGCGUUUGGUUCAUUGGAGUUCGAAAAAAGUUCGAUCGUUUAAUAAACGAAUCAAACUCGAAUACACUAUUAAAUUCAUUUAAUAAUCGAGUCGAACAUAAACCUAUUCACGAACUGUUCGAAUAGUUUGCCAACACAUAUACGAUUAUAAAAAUAAAUAAAAAUAAAUAUAAAUAUAGUUAAUAUUAUUAUUAUUAUAUUUUACUCAAAAAAGUAAUUAUACAUAAAGUUAGCAUUGCUUAUUUUCUAAAACAAAGAAAUACAAUUAAAGUUAUUCUAAGUAAUAAAUUUUCCAAAAAAAAAAUUAAAUCAUUUUAAAACUCAAAUUCAAACUCCAGUUCGAGCUCAACUCAUUUAGUUUAAUGAGCCGAGCUUGAAUUGGAACUCAAAUAUUUAUACAAAUUUAUGAAUCAAAUUCGAGCAACAUUUGUAGCUCGUUUAAUAUUCGAUCGAAUUUGAUUCCUAUUCACAUAAUAUAAGAAUAAAGGCUAAACGCUAAAUAUUCGGCUCGUUAAAAGCUCUAUUGAGGGCAAAGUAAUAUAAAAAAAAAAUACAUGUAUUUUCUAAAGCAAUAAGCAAUAAUCAUAUUGGAUGCAUGACAAUUAAUCUGAAUUUAAAUUUUAAAUUUUGUAUCAUAUAUCAAAUCGCAAUAACAUAUACAUUGUCAAUAUAUAGAAGAUUAGUUCUUAAAGAAAUAUAUUAAAGUAUUCAAGUCUUCAACGAGGCAGGUUAUGCAGUUGCCCGCUACUGCACACUGCUGCGCACAAAUUUACAGUAGAGCUUCACAAAUUUCAAUACUGAUCGGGAUUAUUGUCGUCAUACUUAACGUCAAUUGGAGUGACAACCAUCUACAAAUAUUUGUUCCGACCAUUGCACCCUGAUUCGGACAAGUCGAUCCUCAUAUUUCCUCCUUCUUUUUUUUUUGGUUGCCUGUCAAGGUAUCCAGGAUUUUGCCCUGAUUAAUCUGUUGGUCGACCCGGGUCGCACACCUGGCUGUGGUGGGCGAGUCUCCAAACAAGGAUAGCUGCAUACGUCAGGUUUCGAACCCGAGACCUGCUUAAGCGGAACCAAGCUGCUUACCACUUGGCCCAACCCCAGUUGGUUAUUUCCUCCUUCAUACUAAGGCUUCAUUUGAUUGAAAAAAAUAAAUAAAUUCCUAUGUUUCAAUUACACAUUAGAUUCCAAUAUUUUAUCGUUGCCCUUUUCAACAUAGUUCCUACACCUUUUUUUUUUUCACUCGUUGCUUAAUAUUUUUUUCCCCCUUAUUGUAAUCUAAAAUGUAAUUAAGAGGACCGCCAAGUAGAACAUUACUGAACAUACUAAUCUAAAAGGCAUACCUACUAAUCCAACUGUUAUAAUUUUCUAGCUAUGUUUUUUCUAGAAAUAAAACUAAAAUGUAUUAGCGUUAAUAUCUUGUAUUAUAUAUCACCAUAAUUUAUACUAGUACAAGUUCAAUAAUUUUCGACCUUUGUGCUAAUUACAUUCGUAACACAUACAUGCCAUUUUGUUUUCCUUCCAUAUCAAAUAUAAGUAUCAACAAAUUUAAAUCGCCACUUAACUAAAUUUAAAUCGCCUCAGACUUUUUCUUUACUCCCACAACCUAUUUUUUGCAAUGAAUAUUUCAUCUUCCCUUCCAUUUCCACUUUAAACCUUUAUUUUAAGAGAAAUGCUUUUGUUCCUUUUCGCUCAAUUAAAUGCCCCCACCUUGGGAUUUUUUUUUUUUUUCCUUUUGCGGACGGGGAGUGUUGGCAACCGUUCCUUUAUUUAUCAGUUUCUCGUAAAUAUUUUUUUUAUCUAACAUUAAUAAUUUAUUCUACCUUGCAUGAAAAUUGAAGAUGAACCUCCAGAUCAGACAAGCGUACUAUCUAGCCAUCCUAAUCUUUUUGAGGGUAAAGCUUUCCCUAUGUCACGGUAUCUCCACUCUCCAGCAAAGCUUUCCCUCAAAUUCAUUUUUUUAAUUGCUUUUUUACACGUCCCUCCGACUGCCACCAUCCCCCUGCAACUUGCAGACUGACACGUCAAUUUUACUCGCCAAAAUGUGGACCUGCAAAGCUUUCCCCCUCUGGUUUCUUUCCAACAUCCUCCUCCUCUCAAUUUCUGCUAUAUCUCAUCUUCUUUAUUUGGGAGUAUGUCUUUUGAUUAAUAAAAAAUGCAGAUGAAGAUAUGUUUAUACUAACCAAAAUGUUAAUAAAAGGCACUUAACAUUUUUCUUUAGAUUAUUCUGCAUAUAUAUAUAUAUAUAUAUAUAUAUUUUUUUAUUUAUAUUGUCCAAUCUUUCCCAUGUUGGAUACAAUUUUUUUUCUAAUUCUAUUUUUGUAAGCGCCAUGUUGGACAAGUUUGGUAAGCAAGUAAGAGCCACUUGAUUGAUAAGUACAAAGGUCAAGGCACGAUCUUGUCCUCCGACUUGGCACUUGGCACGUCAUGCUGAGUGACCCCACUGCGUCACGGCUUACGUCACAACACACUUUUGACUUAAAUUCACGAAUUCACCUUUAAUACUCGAUCAGAAAAAGAAUGAGCUUUUGGCGGUCAAUUCAUCAUUUAGUCAGAUUGGGCUGUGGCAAGAGAGAUAUUGCUGCUGUGGCAAUAUGAGCAAUCUUUUUUUCUUUUUUUUUUUUUGGCUUGGGUACGGUGGUCAGCAAUCAUUUUCAGUUUCAUGCUGUAGCAAGGAGACUGGGCUGUGACUGCCAGUGUGCACGUAAUUACAUUUGCUUCUCUUUUACCACUUUACAAGUGAAUAAUAGGGGGUUUAGCAUAUCUAAGGGCCACGUAGUCGAGGCAAUGUAUUUUCAGAUUAUUGAAAUCUCUGGUUGUAAUUAAUUAGUCCAUCUAAUUAUUCCCUGGUUUCAGCAGGUGAUUAGAUGCUUUUAUGUUUGUUGGAAAAAAUUAGAUGUUUUAUGAUAUCUAUUUUUUUUAGUCUUUUCUUUCUUAGAAGUUGGUCACUACCCCACCCACAUGCCUUAGCCUUUGAGUGUAUAAGUUAUCAAUUUUGGUUUUGAUGAACUUACUUUGAAUGUUUAAGACUUUUUUUUUUAAAAAAAAAUAAUGUUUAAGAUUUCAACCAAUUGUGAUUGGCUCACAUUCAAUGUAGCUUCCUUGAACGAAUUGUGAUAGGCUCACAUCUGGGUUAACCUGAUUUUUAAAGAAUCGUAUGGUUCAGAUUGUGCUACACUACUUAAAGUAAAUUUGAUUUUUUAAAAAUUAAUGAUUCAAAUUGUGUUAUAAUAAAUACCAGUUCAAAUUGUGCACAAUACAGUUGUGUACAAAAUCAAGAAAUAAGAGCAAAUCAGAUACACAAUCAACAAAUUCUCAUUUCAGAGCAAGAAAUGAUUAAUCAAAGUUACAGUGCUUUAUGUCAUUAACGUUGGUCUGAUAGUAGAUUGAGCAAAACCCAUAGGAAUACAAAUGCAGAAAGAUGUAGAAAUAAGUGUAAUCAAAACAAUAGUUACCGCAACAAAAGUAAAUGUCAUGGAAGAAAAGAGAAGAGAAGGAAGAUAUUUCUUUACUAACAGAAGGAAGUCUUGGGCUAGCAAUGCUGAAGAGAUUUAUUAGUAUUUGAUUAGCAUUUUCAAUUUUUUAACAAAAAUAAAAUUGCUAUUUUUUUAAAAUUAUUUAUCUAUCACACUGUGAAUUUUCCAAUUCUACGUACCUUUUCCAAUGCAAAUGAAGCCGAGCUCGAAAUCGCGUUUGCGCUGCCUUUUUUAUCCUUGCCUUCUUAACUCCGCAUUAUGGAUACUUUGCAUUGCCUUAAAAUCUAUUUAAGUGCACAGCAGCAGCUGGAGUUUUAUUUUAUUUUCUGAGACGCGGGAUGCAGUACAAAAGCAAACAACAUAUGCAUGGACUCCAAUCAAAACGAUCGGUAGUGGCUUGCAUGUGGAAAAUCAGCCAAUUUUGCUUUUCUUUUGACCCGAAAGUGGUUCUUAUGUAGAUAAAGGAUAUUGCACGUUGUAAUAACUUUAACUUUUCACAACUUCCCUUCAACCGAUUAAUCUUAACACAAGUGGGAUGUUCAAUUCCAUUUAAGUUUGACAAUUUCUUAGGUUUCCAUUAAAAAAAAAGGUCAUUUUUUUGAAAGGAAAAAGCAAUAAUUUGCUUGUAUACUUUUUUGAAAAGCCAUUUUUUAAAAAAAAAAAAUUUAUAUUUUUUGUGAACAUAUCUGUCAGUCAAUUUUUUAUCUCACAUAUAUUAAAUCGCUAUAAUACAUUUUUUUUAAAAAAAAAAUUAAAAAAAAUAACAAUCCAAAAAAACUGUGCACCGUAAAAUGAUACGUCCUCCUCAUUUUCUCGCAUGAUGCAUCAUCUAGUACCAAAAACAUUGUCGACUUGUAUCCCAGCUUGGAAACGAGGUUUUUUUUCACACAAAAUUGAAAUUUGAAAGCAAAGUAAAGAAGGUUCAUCCAUACGAGAACUGAAAGGAUCCUCUGCGCAAAUUUUGGGUGGAAAGGCAGACUAAUUAAUUUCAAAAUCAGUUUUUGUUUGUAAUUGUGAAAUUGAUUUGGUAAUUAAUUUAAGCAAACAUGACAGACUUCUCUGUUCAAGUUAAAUUGUUAAAGUGCAUCUUCAAUUGUUAAAAAGCUUUUCAAUUAGCAAGUGCAUUCUCGUUAAUAGAUAUCUUUUUCAUACUUUUUUGUUUGUAAAAAAAAAAAAAAAAAAAAAAUUAACAAGGGAAGGGUGAAAUUUAAAAAGCAGAAGAGGGAAGAAAAAUUUGAAUACAAGACUUCUAAAUCUUCGGAUGUCAACAUUAGCUAUAAGAAAAAAAUACUAACGUUCUUAGGAAUGUAGUUGAUAUUCUUGAACUACAAUUUUUUCUUCUAACUUUCACAUUUCUCAAAGGUAAUCUGCUUUCAAUUACUAUAGUCGAAUAAAACUACUUUAAAGUAAGUGAAAAAAGACUCAAAAAGUCUGUCUAUAUUUGAUGUUUUUCUCCAUUUUCGUUAACAUAGAACCUAAUAAAGUGCUAACAAAUUGAACAUGUAUGGAAGCAAACUACUUCUUCAUACUAUCUCCAGCAAAGCAAACCAAAAAAAAAAAAAAAAA